rnacentral:tRNA from 1 species
GAGAUUUUAGUAUUAAAAAUACAUUACUUUGUCAAAGUAAAAUUAAAGGUUACAAUCCUUUAUUUCUCU